rnacentral:rRNA from 1 species
CCUACGGGGGGCAGCAGUGGGGAAUAUUGGACAAUGGGCGAAAGCCUGACCCAGCCAUGCCGCGUGUGUGAAGAAGGCCUUCGGGUUGUAAAGCACUUUCAGUGGGGAAGAAAGCCUUGGGGCUAAUACCCUCGAGGAAGGACAUCACCCACAGAAGAAGCACCGGCUAACUCCGUGCCAGCAGCCGCGGUAAUACGGAGGGUGCGAGCGUUAAUCGGAAUUACUGGGCGUAAAGCGCGCGUAGGCGGUCUGAUAAGCCGGUUGUGAAAGCCCCGGGCUCAACCUGGGAACGGCAUCCGGAACUGUCAGGCUAGAGUGCAGGAGAGGAAGGUAGAAUUCCCGGUGUAGCGGUGAAAUGCGUAGAGAUCGGGAGGAAUACCAGUGGCGAAGGCGGCCUUCUGGACUGACACUGACGCUGAGGUGCGAAAGCGUGGGUAGCAAACAGGAUUAGAUACCCCUGUAGUC